AGUAACGCGUGAGCAAUCUGCCUUUAAGAGGGGGAGUAACAGUCGGAAACGGCCGCUAAUACCGCAUAAAGCAUCAAAUUCGCAUGUUUUUGAUGCCAAAGGAGCAAUCCGCUUUUAGAUGAGCUCGCGUCUGAUUAGCUGGUUGGCGGGGUAACGGCCCACCAAGGCGACGAUCAGUAGCCGGACUGAGAGGUUGAACGGCCACAUUGGGACUGAGACACGGCCCAG
rnacentral:rRNA from 1 species